UCCUACGGGAGGCAGCAGUAGGGAAUCUUCCGCAAUGGACGAAAGUCUGACGGAGCAACGCCGCGUGAGCGAAGAAGGCCUUCGGGUCGUAAAGCUCUGUUGUAAGGGAAGAACAAGUGCCAUUUAACUGAUGGCACCUUGACGGUACCUUACGAGAAAGCCACGGCUAACUACGUGCCAGCAGCCGCGGUAAUACGUAGGUGGCAAGCGUUGUCCGGAUUUAUUGGGCGUAAAGCGCGCGCAGGCGGUCCUUUAAGUCUGAUGUGAAAGCCCACGGCUCAACCGUGGAGGGUCAUUGGAAACUGGGGGACUUGAGUGCAUAAGAGGAAAGUGGAAUUCCACGUGUAGCGGUGAAAUGCGUAGAGAUGUGGAGGAACACCAGUGGCGAAGUCGACUUUCUGGUCUGUAACUGACGCUGAGGCGCGAAAGCGUGGGGAGCAAACAGGAUUAGAUGCCCUGGUAGUCCACGCCGUAAACGAUGAGUGCUAAGUGUUAGGGGGUUUCCGCCCCUUAGUGCUGCAGCUAACGCAUUAAGCACUCCGCCUGGGGAGUACGGCCGCAAGGCUGAAACUCAAAGGAAUUGACGGA
rnacentral:rRNA from 1 species